ensembl:miRNA MIR101-2 microRNA 101-2
GACUGAACUGUCCUUUUUCGGUUAUCAUGGUACCGAUGCUAUAUAUGUGAAAGGUACAGUACUGUGAUAACUGAAGAAUGGUGGUGCCAUC